rnacentral:tRNA from 1 species
AAAAAAAGCCGGAAUAGCUCAGU